CCUCGGUUGGCGACUAGGCGUCGUGAAAUAAGUCGGAGGGACCGUCGAGGUCUUUAUUCGCUCGAACUCGUCCGGGUAGAUCAGUUGGGCGGAACCGCAGGCCAACAGGCCGAUGAACAUCAGCGUGAACGCCAUUUCUAGAGGCGAGAAUUCCUGGUCGAUAACGGUUGCGUCGAUUGUCAGGGGACAUCGGUUGAUAGCGGAGAACUACGCCGGAUUGUUGCUUCUCCUGUCGCGCGUGUCGCGUACCGACUCGUCCUUUCGAUGGAUCUUCGACCACGGUGUCCUUCCUCCGAUUUCCCUCGGAUAACACCGAAUCGAUUCUGGAUCGAGCCUCCGAUGGACCGUUACGCGUAGGUCGCGAAAGAAUUCGAACGGGAACUGUCAGAUCGCGCUCGUAUGGAUCACGUAUCCCGUCUACCAGGGAGGAUCGCGUGCUCGACAUCCUCUUCUGUAGAUUGGCGAAAGCGAACCGGGUCUGGACGGGUCGAUACGGAAGGGUCGACUUCGUGAUCCAGAUAUUGACUGAUCACAAUGGCCACGCGUGGGGAGGGUUAUAAAGUUUCGAACCCCACGGUUUUCCCGAGCGAUUAGCUCGCUCGCAAUCGCAGCUCGCACCUACUGGAGAGAUACGGGGCUGCUUCGAGGGAACGUGCGGUUUGUUUUCAUAGCUGACAAGAGCUUCCGAAGACGGAUGGCUGGAUUUCCCCGAGCAUAGGUUUUUGGAACGUUGGUUAUGUUUGCGUUUAAUGAGUUGGCCGGGUAAAGCGACCAGACGUAGAAUUUGCGUGUGUAUUCGUGACAACGAUUACGAAUGGAAGUAUUGUUUAUGUUUAACGCUUUAACUGCCUUCUCACCAUGGCAAUUAAUACUUUGUUAUCUAUUAUGUUAUUAUAUUUAGUAUUUAUAGAUGGUCGUGUCUCUGCAACACCGACGGUUGCUGACGUCACCGAGGACUUCUACGAACGAGGGAUCGCGAACUUUCUCCAAAAGAUGGGAAAACAUUUUGGCAAACUUGAUAUUAUCGAAAUAGCAUUGCAUGCUCCCAUUAUUUAAUUAUGAAAUACUGUACGAGUAUUAAUAAGAGCAAGAAAAUGAUUCUAGUAGAUAAAAGUAAUGAUAUCAUUGAAUUUAUUUACCAAUCGCUACCAGUCGGUAAGGUGUUGGUUCACACUAAUCGAUGAGUCGGAAUCGAUUGAUGUUCAUCGGCCGAUUCUAGAGAACGGUGAUAUUUGUUUUUGAUAGUUGACGCAGAUUAAAGGGAAACCGUGGCGGAUCGUGGGUUUUUCCCACGUGGGAAUUUUUGAAUUAAGUUUACGUUUGCCUAUCGAACGCACCGAUUUUCUGAAGCAUAGAAACUUCUUAGGUUAGGUUAGGUUAUGGUUUAUUAUAGUGUAGCCCUAUCGGACCUCUUACACUUUUCCUGUAAUACACAUUUUGAUUAUGCUACGUAUUAUACAUAAGAGAACAUAUCAGAAACAGUAUUACUAAGAGCUCAAUGAUUACUAUACAGGGUGUCCGAAA